UAAUUUUGGUAAACCUUCUUUGAAUAAGCAUCAUCAUUGCUUUUACCCCUUUUUACGCCACCUUUACCACCUCUUUACCCUUUUAUCUUUCCAACACCCUUUUCUGUCGUCCUCCCACUUCAGCAGUUACCUCAAUUCAUUUCACCUCUUUUCAUCUUCUCCUUGGUUCAUUCACCCCGCUUUAUCUAUCCAUCCCUUCAUCUUCUUCUUUUCCCCUUCAAAACCAUUAUUUUGAUAUCCCUCCAAUGACCAAAACUCUCUCUAUGGCUAAUCUCUUCAAAACCCUUUAGUAGUUCCAUUCUGAUAAUCAAAUCCUCAUCUCUAAAUCUUCUGACGAGUCCUCAUCCUACUCUAGGAAGUCAACUGUCACUAAAAAACAUUUUGCCCCAAGUCUUAAUUCAUCAUUCAGGAAACCUCGUUCAACUUCUCUGGCCUCCAGAAAAGAUGCAUAAGUUUGGACUUGCUCGAAAAAAACAAGUUUACCUCCUUAAAAAGCCGCUCAAUUGUACCCGAUCGAGUAGUAAAUCUCUAUCAAUUAAAGGAAGCUCAUUGCAAUGUCAGUUCCUUUUUAAAAUUUCAAGACCUGUUACUAGUUUUCCAUCUUUGUGGACUUGAAGUUUAUGAGGAUAUUGUUCAAAUGGCUUGAAACAAAGAGAUUAGAGACCCCAAGGAGUCGAAAUUAAAUUAACAAGGAAUGAUGAUCAUUAAUAUUACUGUCGAAGGCUAGGUUACUUUAAACAAAACUGUGCAGAAUUGAAAAGAAGAUCAUUUAGAAGAAAUAAAAACAUAGGGGC
rnacentral:lncRNA from 1 species